rnacentral:rRNA from 1 species
UACAGAGACUGCAAGCGUUGUUCGGAUUCAUUGGGCGUAAAGGGUCCGUAGGCGGUCGGUUAAGUCGGAUGUGAAAUCUCACAGCCUAACUGUGAGCGGUCAUUCGAAACUAAUCGGCUAGAGGGCUGGAGAGGAGACUGGAAUUGUCGGUGUAGCGGUGAAAUGCGUAGAGAUCGACAAGAACACCGGUGGCGAAGGCGACGUCCUGGACCGGCAUUGACGCUGAGGCGCGAAAGCCAGGGGAGCAAACGGG